ensembl:lncRNA
UUAUUUUUUACAUACCCAGUUGGCCUCUAUGAUUUUGUUUUGAAUUAUAUAUGUUCAUUAUUAUUAAUGUAGCUGUCUCAGAAAAAAUGAAGCGUUUGCUUUCAUAGGUUGCUACCUACGUGUAGAAAACUGAAUAUUCCACAGCACCUAGGCCAGGGAUCUUCAACCUGCGGCUCUAAAGCCACAUGUGGCUCUCCGGCCCCUCCACUGUGGCUCUUAUAAGACCAAAUGCUCCUGUCACUCCAUUUGCCAGGUCAUCAUAGCACUCCCACACACCUGGAGCUCUCCUGCAGUAUGCAGUGUAAUGGCCCAAACCACCAGUGGUCAUCUUUCCAUGGAAAGCAAUUAAUGCCCUCAAAGUGAAUGACUUUCCUUGGAGAACCAGGUUGGAGGGAAAUUCAUUCAGUGGAAAUUCUGUUUGGUUUGCAAGAGAUGGAUUGGAGAGUGGCCUGAGGCAGGUAGACUCAGGUAGGCCGAGUCCUGCUUCCACAGCAGUGCCAAGAUGAGCCAUACCAGACUCUCUGAGGACAGAGAUAGCAGGAGAAACAAAUGGUUUGUUGGGUCACACCAUCUGUGGCAAUGGCUUUCACCAGCUGCAGGACUGGGUUUUCACUGUCCUUCAGAACAGCGUUUUGAAAUGUUGAGCUGUCACAGAAGGCACAACAUAAGCACUGAAAAAAUGCAUCAAAUGCAC